GAGGGUACAGCUCAGUGGCAGAGCACCUGCUUAGCAUGCACGAGGUCCUGGAUUCAGUCCCCAGUACCUCCA
rnacentral:tRNA from 1 species